UACGGAGGAUCCGAGCGUUAUCCGGAUUUAUUGGGUUUAAAGGGUGCGCAGGCGGGAGAUUAAGUCGGCGGUGAAAUUUUGCAGCUCAACUGUAAAAGUGCCUUCGAAACUGGUUUCCUUGAGUGUGGAUGAAGUAGGCGGAAUUUGUGGUGUAGCGGUGAAAUGCUUAGAUAUCACGAGGAACUCCGAUUGCGCAGGCAGCUUACUAAACUACUACUGACGCUCAGGCACGAAGGCGUGGGGAUCAAACAGGAUUAGAUACCCGCGUAGUCCCU
rnacentral:rRNA from 1 species